AGGAAUCUGCCUAUUAGUGGGGGACAACGUUUCGAAAGGAACGCUAAUACCGCAUACGUCCUACGGGAGAAAGCAGGGGACCUUCGGGCCUUGCGCUAAUAGAUGAGCCUAGGUCGGAUUAGCUUGUUGGUGAGGUAAUGGCUCACCAAGGCGACGAUCCGUAACUGGUCUGAGAGGAUGAUCAGUCACACUGGAACUGAGACACGGUCCAGACUCCUACGGGAGGCAGCAGUGGGGAAUAUUGGACAAUGGGCGAAAGCCUGAUCCAGCCAUGCCGCGUGUGUGAAGAAGGUCUUCGGAUUGUAAAGCACUUUAAGUUGGGAGGAAGGGUUGUAGAUUAAUACUCUGCAAUUUUGACGUUACCGACAGAAUAAGCACCGGCUAACUCUGUGCCAGCAGCCGCGGUAAUACAGAGGGUGCAAGCGUUAAUCGGAAUUACUGGGCGUAAAGCGCGCGUAGGUGGUUUGUUAAGUUGGAUGUGAAAGCCCCGGGCUCAACCUGGGAACUGCAUCCAAAACUGGCAAGCUAGAGUACGGUAGAGGGUGGUGGAAUUUCCUGU
rnacentral:rRNA from 1 species